rnacentral:tRNA from 1 species
CCGUCGCGAUGGAGAGGAUUUCGCGAAGCCAGCCUUCUACGCUGGCGCAAGGUCGUCGUCUUUCAGGUUCUGCCUGACGAGGUGGU